rnacentral:sRNA from 1 species
UUGACAGCACUGGAGACUGAAGUCUCUUAUUUGUCCACAGAACAGGCAUUUCUCAAUUAAUGUAUAUACUCAUGCAACUAAAAGGGACCCCUGUUGGAACAAGGGGGUAAAUCAGUUUCCUCUCUUACUCUUUCACUGUAAGCA